rnacentral:rRNA from 1 species
GACGAACGCUGGCGGCGUGCUUAACACAUGCAAGUCGAACGGAAAGGCCUGCUUUCCCUUGUGGAUUGCGGGUACUCGAGUGGCGAACGGGUGAGUAACACGUGAGUGAUCUGCCCCCAACUUGGGUAUAAGCCUGGGAAACUGGGUCUAAUUCCCGAUAGGACUGCAGGGUGGUGCCUGUGGUGGAAAACGAUUUUCUAGUGGUUGGGGAUGAGCUCGCGGCCUAUCAGCUUGUUGGUGGGGUAAUGGCCUACCAAGGCGGCGACGGGUAGCCGGCCUGGGAGGGUGGACGGCCGCAUUGGGACUGCGAUACGGCCCAGACUCCUACGGGAGGCAGCCGUGGGGAGUAUUGCACAAUGGGCGGAAGCCUGAUGCAGCGACGCCGCGUGGGGGAUGCCGGCCUUCGGGUUGUAAACUCCUUUCGACCGCGAGGAAGCCACCUGGUUGGAAGGGUGGUGACGGUAGUGGUAGAAGAAGCACCGGCUAACUACGUG